AAGUCGUAACAAGGUUUCCGUAGGUGAACCUGCGGAAGGAUCAUUACCGAGAUAGGGCCUCCGGGCUCGACCUCCAACCCUCUAUCUACCUUCUUAUGUUGCCUCGGCGGGUCGCCGGCGCCCUCACGGGCGGCGGCCGUCGGCAUUCGUGCUCUCGAGUGCCCGCCAGAGGACCGAUCGAACCCUGCUCAUCGUAGACUUCUGAGUGAGAAACACAAUAACUUCAAAACUUUCAACAACGGAUCUCUUGGUUCUGGCAUCGAUGAAGAACGCAGCGAAAUGCGAUAAGUAAUGUGAAUUGCAGAAUUCAGUGAAUCAUCGAAUCUUUGAACGCACAUUGCGCCCCUUGGUAUUCCGAGGGGCAUGCCUGUUCGAGCGUCAUUACAACCCAUCAAGCUCCGCUUGGCCUUGGGCGUCGCCCCCGCGAGGGGACGCGCCCCAAAGAACUCAGCGGUGCCGCGAGGCCCCGAGGCGUAGUAAAUUCUCCCGCUUCGUGGGGCCACGACGGUCGCCCGCUUCCAAUGACCAACACCUUCUAGGUUGACCUCGGAUCAGGUAGGGAUACCCGCUGAACUUAA
rnacentral:rRNA from 1 species